rnacentral:rRNA from 1 species
ACUAAUGUUAUCAUGUACUUAAAUACACCAGAUCCCAUUUGAUCUUGGAAACUAAGCAGGGUUGGCCAUGUUUAGUAACUGGAUAGGAGACUGACAGCAAAUACCAGGUGAUGUAUGGU